rnacentral:rRNA from 1 species
AGUUUGAUCCUGGCUCAGAAUCAACGUUGGUUGGCGUGGAUUACGGCAUGCAAGUCGCGCGACAAGUUUCCGUGCCUUGGCAGGAAACGGAGGAGCGGCGAAAGGGAGAGUAACACGUGGAUACCUGCCCUCAGCUCCGGGAUAGCAGCGGGUAAACUGCUGGUAAUACCGGAUAAUAUCCCCGUGAUCAAAGGUGUGAUUCCGGCU